UUUACGGAUGCCAAUCCUUGAACAAGCUUCUAGAAAGUAGUCUUCGACAUUGAUCGGGUGAAGAGGUCCGUCAGGUUGUCCUAAGAACGGAUUUGCUUGACUUCAAUCUUCCGGUGCUUUUGUUGCUAUUGAGAGAAAAAGAACUUCGGCGCAUUGUGUUUGAUAUUGUCUCCUUUGAUGUAUUCAUUGUUGCGUUGUUCAAGACAUGAUGCAUUAUCAUAAUUGUAGGGACGUCAAUGACAGAGUGUUUGGUAAACUUUUUUGUAAAAAUGCUUUUGAAAAAAAAAAAAAAAAAAAAAGUAGUAUUAUAGUGUUUGGCAAACUUUUAUAUAAAACAGCUGUGACAGUGUGAAAUGACCAAAAAGGGUAUAAUACUAUGUUAUUAUUAUGAUAUUUUAUUUAAUAUUACUAUUUUUCUGUGAGGAUUUUGUGUGGCCGUGGGGCCCACACCCCAUUUCUCUUCUCCCCGUGUCUUCAUUUCCCUCUACAUUCCCAAACUCUCUCGAAAACUCUCAGCUCUCUCUCUCUCUCUCUGCACUAUCUCCUCCACCAAGACAACCCCACACACAAACCUUCGAUCUCAGACCAUCUCACCACCAGAUUAUCAUCAUCUCCACCCCUACGAAUUUAACCCCAAGUUUGGGUUACAUGAAUCAUGUUUUGGGUCCUAGGGAUAAGAAAAUCUGAGAACUCAAAUCCAUGAGCUCUCCAGCAAGAAUCAGGACAAAAUCAAUUAGCCGCCCACUCCAUCUCUCAUCCUUCUCUCUUUGUUUCUCUCUCCCAUCUAGAAUUCUGGAGUCAUCCUUUUUGCCUAAUUUUUUUUUCAUCUGAUUUUCUCCACUCUAAGGACCACAUUGUCCAAAUGUUCCUUCUCAUCUACCUCAAGAUCAUCAACAAGAUCGACUUUCUGAUUCUCAUCUACUUCAAGAUGAUUGACAAGAUCGACUUUCCGAGUAAAAUCCAUUCCAAUAUUCCCUGUUUUAGGUGUAGUUUGACCUAUGGAUUCAAAUGGUGGUGUUGCAUGUGAAGAUCAAGUACUCAAAAAUGAAGAAAGCCAACCCUUCCCUCUCGGUGAAAAACUCUUCAAUCAGUUGACCUAAGGCUCGAUGAAAUUGGGGUGCUUCAAACUCAAUUCAACCUUCAUUUAAUCUCAGAAAUCUGGUGACCUUCAUGGUCAUUUUUCCGGCGAACUCAAGACUGAAUCUACACCAAUUGCCAAAUCUCAACUCUGGAAACCAAUGAAGCAUCACCAGUGCCAUUACAACUAAUCAAAGACCAAUUCAUUCCUAAUUGAUGACUGGGAAUAUUUUUCUUGCUCGAAUUCUGGACUAGUUCUUGCUCGGAUUCUGGACUAGUUCUUGCUCGCAUUCUAGGUUGAUUCUCACUCGGAUUCUGGGAUUCGAUCCAAUUGGAAAAUUUUCAAAAAUGGUUUCUCACAAAGAUUGAAUCUUUUUCUUAUUUGUGUAUUUGGAGGAUUUGGAAGGAGAAUAGGGAUAAAUGUUGGUGCAGUGGUGGUGGUUGGUGUUGAACGAGAGUGGGCGAGACGGCUGCGGUCCUACUCUGAUGCGAGGGAAGGGGUGAACGAGUGUGAGAGAUUCCAGUUUGAGUAUUAAGGACAAGGUUUGUCAUUUUGUAAAAAUGACGAGGGUGUUAUUGGACUUUAGAAAGUUUCAUUAAAGAUGCAUUAUAGC